rnacentral:rRNA from 1 species
CAGCAGCCGCGGUAAUACGUAGGUCCCGAGCGUUGUCCGGAUUUAUUGGGCGUAAAGCGAGCGCAGGCGGUUAGAUAAGUCUGAAGUUAAAGGCUGUGGCUUAACCAUAGUACGCUUUGGAAACUGUUUAACUUGAGUGCAAGAGGGGAGAGUGGAAUUCCAUGUGUAGCGGUGAAAUGCGUAGAUAUAUGGAGGAACACCAGUGGCGAAGGCGACACACUGGCUCACUACUGACGCUGAGGCGCGAAAGCGUGGGGAGCAAACAGGAUUAGAUACCCCUGUAGUCCCUGUCUCUUAUACA